rnacentral:lncRNA from 1 species
UUAAUUUCUCCUCCUUUUUGACAUCAUCAAACAUGGUUAACUCCUCUUUUUUCUGAAACAUUCUUUAAUUUCUCCCCCUUUAGAGUUUAUCACAGAUGUUUGCUCCCCCUUAAUACAGCAAUUAUUAACAGCAAACAACAACAAAGAGAAGAUAAUGUUUCAACAAGGAGAAUAUAUAUAACCAAAAUAUGAUCGUCAUCAGUACAAAAGGUAGAAAAAUAAGUAAAAGAUGAUUCCAUAAAACCAUAAUUGUUUCAAUACAUAGUUCAUAAUAUAAAAAUUAACCAGCUAAUUGUCAAUACAUGGCCCCCAGAUACAGAUCCUAGAACAAGACACUAACACCUAGGAUCUAGUAA